rnacentral:snRNA from 1 species
AUACUUACCUGGCAGGGGAGAUACCAUGAUCAUGAAAGUGGUUUUUCCAGGGUGAGGCUCAUCCAUUGCACUUCAGGUGGGCUGAUUGGGUGAGGCUCAUCCAUUGCACUUCGGGUGGGCUGAUUCCUGUGAUUUCCCUACAUGUGGGAAAAUCAACUGCAUAAUUUGUGGUAGUGGGGGACUGA